UGGGGAAUAUUGGACAAUGGGCGCAAGCCUGAUCCAGCCAUGCCGCGUGUGUGAAGAAGGCCUUUUGGUUGUAAAGCACUUUAAGCGAGGAGGAGGCUACUUGGAUUAAUACUCUAGGAUAGUGGACGUUACUCGCAGAAUAAGCACCGGCUAACUCUGUG
rnacentral:rRNA from 1 species